GUUGUUGUAAUGAAUGAAGUGAAGGCAGGAUGCUGAGGUGGACUGUUCAUCUUGAAGGUGGUCCAAGACGAGUAAACCAUGCAGCAGUCGCCAUCGGGGAAAAAAUCUACAGUUUUGGAGGAUACUGCACUGGCGAGGACUAUGAAACUAGACUACCUAUAGAUGUUCAUGUGCUAGAUAUCAUCUCCUUGCGGUGGAAGUUGCUUCCUGUACCAGCACGGCGCAAUCUUCCACUCUCACCUUCAGGGGAUCUAACAAUUCCAUACCAGAGGUAUGGACAUUCUGCAGUGGCUUAUAAGGAUUGUGCAUAUAUCUGGGGUGGCAGAAACGACACAGAUGGGGCGUGCAAUGUUCUCUUCAUGUUUAACACAGUUUUGAGGCUGUGGGGUAAUGUGGAAACAAAUGGACCGAUACCAGGUGCAAGAGACGGCCACUCAGCUUGUGUUAUACAUAAAAAGAUGUACAUAUUUGGUGGAUAUGAGGAAGCGAUUGACAGAUUUUCUGAUGAUAUUUAUUCUUAUGUCUUUGAAACAAAGACAUGGGCAUAUGUUAGGGCAAAGGGUACGCCUGCAAGAUGGCGUGACUUCCAUACAGCUGUUGGUAUUGAUAGGUUCAUGUAUGUAUUUGGAGGGCGGAGCGAUCAUGGCGGCAACAUGUUCACAAAUAUGGAGCUUUACUGCAAUAAGAUACAAGGAUUCGAUACAGUCACAAACACCUGGUUCCAGCCUGUUACACAUGGUCUCAUUCCAACAGGGCGGAGAAGCCAUUCUGUGUUUACAUACAAAAAGUGCAUUUAUAUAUUUGGUGGCUAUAAUGGUCAACAUGAUCUUCAUUUCAAAGACAUCUUCAGGUUUGAUACAAGAACCAACAAAUGGUCAUUAGUGGCAGUUCGAGGAACAGGACCAUGUGCGAGAAGGCGUCAAUGUUGUUGUAAGAUAGGAACAAAAGUUUACCUCUUUGGAGGUACAAGUCCGACUAAUCUGGCACCACAGGAUGUGGAUGAUGCGGAAGUUCCCUUGAUGGAUCUAUCUGAUUUACAUGUGCUAGAUCUAGAACCCUCUCUCAAAACUCUAGCCAAGUUGGCUGUCCUAGAACACAAGUUGGACACAUCAUGUUUACCAAGGGAUAUAAGAUGGGAGUUAGCUGCAAUGACAACACCAAAUGUGAUAACUAGACCAAUUAACUCUAACGGAUGAUAAACUCUAACAGACGAUAAACUCUAACGGACUAUAAUUAUGCAAUAUUGUGUUAAGACUUCAUGCAUGCCAUGUCAAUUGCAUUUAUAAGUAUGGUAUACCAGUACAUUUUGUUAUAUAUCACAUUGUUUCUGUUACCUUACUUGAAAACUGCAUGGUAAAUUUCAGAGUGCUCUUUUCAGUCUUGAUAUUUUUGUAAUACCUAAUGUUAUACAUACGAAAUUUCAGGUGCAAAUUUGUGUUUCACAAUACAACAGGUUCACAAUUAGUUGUGAUUCUUUUAUAUAUUUUUUUUUCCUAGUCUAAUAUUACAGUGUUACAUGUGCAACAUAAGUUUUAAGUAUAUUAUUUGGUACACGGAAAUAACUUUUUUUUUUAGCUCACCUGUCACAAAGUGACAAGGUGAGCUAUUGUGACCGCUUGAUGUCCGUCGUGCGUUGUCCGUCGUGCGUCGUCCGUCAACAAUUUC
rnacentral:misc_RNA from 1 species